rnacentral:lncRNA from 1 species
GAAAAUUGUGUUUAAUUGUUUUGACCUCGCACCGUCGAGGAAAGGUGUUUACUCCGUGCCGUCGGAGAAGUGAGUGUGUGUGUGUAGGCCUAAGUGUGUGUGUUGCAGGUUGAAUGAGUGUGUGUGUGUGUGUGUGUGAAAGUGUGUUUAAGUGAAGGUGUGUGACUCUGUUGCCAGAGUCACAGUGAGGGAUAGGAGAAGGCACAUAUAGAAGGUACAUUUUAACAUACAGCAGGUACGCAAGAAGGAUUUGGUGAGUGGUAAUCAUGUCUACGUGGAAGACAAUUGAUGAACAGAUGAGUAAGAUGUUGAGCCAUUGCUGCGGACAGGCAGGACCAGAGGGACAACAGAAGGCUGCAGCUGAGAUGGAAGCAGCAGUGUGUACAGCAAUGACAGAGCAGGGAGUGAAAGGAGAUGAUAAAAAGCCACUAAAAAGUGUGAUUGCAACAGUGGAGAAUAAAGUUAAACUAGAGAGAGAGAGAAAGGAGGAGAUUAUUAGAUUAUUAGUGUUAGAGACAGUUGAGUUGAAGGAGGCAGUGCAGGCUGAUGAGGAGAGACGUAAGAUUCUAUAUCAGGCAUAUCUGUGCUGCAUAGACGAUGAUUGUGAGGAGUCUGGUAGUACCACUGACAUUAAACAGGAAGUAGAGAGCGAGGGAAUUCAGGGGGCGGAGAUACCGCCUCCCUAUUCACCAGCCUCUGCUGUAGCUUCUGCUUCGCCUCAGACCCCACUUCCUGGGAUGUACCCCAUCAUGACUGUCCCUGAUGGGAGGGGGCGAGUAACAGACAGACAGACAGGAGUGAACUCUAGUCAACCUGGUGCCCAGCAGCACUGGUAUAGACAGGCAACAGAGGAGGGGCUUCCCCUGUUGCUUCAGCAGGCCCAGAAAAAUGACCCUGAUUUACCAGGAAGUGAUUCUGUUGCUUGGAAGAGACAUGUUGUACACCAUAUGAAUCUACACACAGACACAGAGACCAUGGAGAUGAAAAGGCUGCAGACACAAUUAUUAAAGCUGCAGUUAGCUCAAGCUAGAAAGAAAGCAGCAUAUCAGAGGAAAAUGAAGAAAUACACCCCUGCAUCACAGAGGGUGGUUCAGCCUCAGCCUGCUCCCCCGCCUCAGCCACAGUCCCCAGUUGUGGGAAAUCUUGAUAUGUAUUUAACCCCAUCUUGGGUCACCCGCCCCCACUAUCAAGGUGGGUGGGGUCAAUAUCAUAGAGGAGG